AUCUUUCGACUGACAAAUUUUCAGAUGCUGAUUUGAGAUAAUUUUUGACAAAAACAUGUUUAUAUUUUUACUAAAAACGAAACGUUGCGCGGAGCGAUUGCAUGAACCGUCGAAUGCGGAUUCGUCGGUUCAUGAAACCAACCCUCCUUAAAUUCUAGCAGACGAUGAACCGUCGAAUCUGUAGCAUCGUCUGAACGGGAUGUAAAAAUUGCAAUAGAUAGUUGGAAGUUUCUCGCAGAAAUCCUGGCAUGACCUUUGGCUGUAUUCUCGUGAAGAGUGCUGUGUGAUCUGGUGGAGAUGUCCUGAACUUGCUUUGUGCUGCAAUC